UGGGGGAUUUUGGACAAUGGGGGAAACCCUGAUCCAGCCAUCCCGCGUGUGCGAUGAAGGCCUUCGGGUUGUAAAGCACUUUUGGCAGGAAAGAAACGUCGCGGGUUAAUACCCCGCGAAACUGACGGUACCUGCAGAAUAAGCACCGGCUAACUACGUGCCAGCAGCCGCGGUAAUACGUAGGGUGCAAGCGUUAAUCGGAAUUACUGGGCGUAAAGCGUGCGCAGGCGGUUCGGAAAGAAAGAUGUGAAAUCCCAGAGCUUAACUUUGGAACUGCAUUUUUAACUACCGGGCUAGAGUGUGUCAGAGGGAGGUGGAAUUCCGCGUGUAGCAGUGAAAUGCGUAGAUAUGCGGAGGAACACCGAUGGCGAAGGCAGCCUCCUGGGAUAACACUGACGCUCAUGCACGAAAGCGUGGGGAGCAAACAGGAUUAGAUACCCUGGUAGUCCACGCCCUAAACGAUGUCAACUAGCUGUUGGGGCCUUCGGGCCUUGGUAGCGCAGCUAACGCGUGAAGUUGACCGCCUGGGGAGUACGGUCGCAAGAUUAAAACUUAAAUGAAUUGAC
rnacentral:rRNA from 1 species